ensembl:lncRNA
UUUCAUUUGUCUCAAAAUUUCAGGACCUGCACUUUUUCAGUUUUGGAAAGGCAAGUAAUUUAACAAAAAAUAAUGUGAUACAUUAUUGUGGUGUAAGUGAUACAGAUUGAACAAAGAUGUGUUAAUGUCACUGUUCUCUUUUACAUAAAAGGCACGGACAAUUUCAAAAUCCCUGCCAAAUAUAUUAGAGGUCAUUCACAAGUAUGCUGAACCCGGGACCAGUCUAAAGACCUACAGUGUUCACAAAGUGCAUGGCUUUUGGGAAAAUGUCUCAAGAGAUUUGGGAGUGCCUAAUACAUGUCUUAAUAGGAAAAAAAUUCUCAAAGCAGUCCUGCAGUAUGAAAAGACCACAUCAGGGGUAGAGGGUCCCUUGCUACAGACUGAUUUUCCUACUGCAGAGACAACCCUUGGAGAUGAUGUUCCUUCCAUUAAUGAGGAAGACAUUGUUCUUGUGCCAAAGUCUCCACAAUCUGUAGGAAAUGUACCUUUACCUUCAAGAAAAGAGGAUGCACUUCAAAAAACUGCAGAGAGCGGCAUCCAUACCCCAGACACACAAUCCCUCGAGAGUGACUCUAAAUCUUCAUCUUCAAAUGCAAAUGCUACGAGGAAUGAAUCAGAUGAAUCAGCUAAGGUCAACACAGACAGUAGCAGUUCAGGAGAAAGAUUUUUCACAUCUGGUUUGCCACAGCAGAAAACUUUCUUUUUCAUAAAUGAGAAUGAAUGGAAGGAGUUACGGCAACAUCAGUCAGGAAGAAUAUUUAAAGGACUGCAUUGGACAAAUAUAAUUGCUAGUGGAAUCAGAACCCUAAAUCCGUACUGCAGUUUUGGAUUUCGAGACACAGUGUGAAAAACUCUCUUCAAGAUCAAAGGCACCGGUUUUCA